rnacentral:rRNA from 1 species
UACGUAGGGUGCGAGCGUUAAUCGGAAUUACUGGGCGUAAAGCGUGCGCAGGCGGUUAUGCAAGACAGAUGUGAAAUCCCCGGGCUACAACCUGGGAACUGCAUUUGUGACUGCAUAACUAGAGUGUGGCAGAGGAGAUGGAAUUCCGCGUGUAGCAGUGAAAUGCGUAGAUAUGCGGAGGAACACCAAUGGCGAAGGCAAUCUCCUGGCCUGCACUGACGCUCAUGCACGAAAGCGUGGGAGCAAACAGG